GGCGACCGCUAUUGGAGUUCGAUUAAGCCAUGCGAGUAGAAAGAAAUUAGAUUCUUUGCAUACUGCUCAGUAACACGUGGAUAACCUGCCCUACACUGGGGGAUAAUCUCGGGAAACUGAGCAUAAUACCCCAUAGACCACUACGCCUGGAACGGUGAGUGGUUCAAAGCUCUGGCGGUGUAGGAUGGGUCUGCGGCGUAUCAGGUCGUAGGGGGUGUAAUGGACCUCCUAGCCAUCGACGCGUACGGGUUGUGGGAGCAAUAGCCCGGAGACGGAUUCUGAGACACGAAUCCGGACCCUACGGGGUGCAGCAGGCGCGAAAACUUCACACUGCAGGAAACUGUGAUGAGGGAACUCCAAGUGACUGCACAAUGUGUAGCCUUUUCUUGAAUCUUAAUAGUUCUUGGAAUAAGGGCUGGGAAAGACCGGUGCCAGCCGCCGCGGUAAUACCGGCAGCUCAAGUGGUCGUCGCUUUUAUUGGGCCUAAAACGUCCGUAGCCUGUUUGGUAAAUCUGUGGGUAAAUCAACGAGCUUAACUCGUUGAAUUCUGCAGAGACUGCCAGACUAGGGACCGGGAGAGGUAUGAGGUACUCUGGGGGUAGGGGUAAAAUCCUGUCAUCCUCAGAGGACCACCUGUUGCGAAGGCGUCAUACUGGAACGGAUCCGACGGUCAGGGACGAAGCCUAGGGGCACGAACCGGAUUAGAUACCCGGGUAGUCCUAGGUGUAAACGCUGUGGAUUUGGUGUGUGGGGUCCGCAAUGGGCCCCAUGUGCCGGAGUGAAGAUGUUAAAUCCACUGCCUGGGGAGUACGGUCGCAAGGCUGAAACUUAAAGGAAUUGGCGGGGGAGCACUGCAACGGGAGGAGCGUGCGGUUU
rnacentral:rRNA from 1 species